UAAUGUAUGGGGAUCUGCCCGAUAGAGGGGGAUAACUACUGGAAACGGUGGCUAAUACCGCAUAAUGUCUCGGACCAAAGCAGGGGCUCUUCGGACCUUGCACUAUCGGAUGAACCCAUAUGGGAUUAGCUAGUAGGUGGGGUAAAGGCUCACCUAGGCGACGAUCUCUAGCUGGUCUGAGAGGAUGAUCAGCCACACUGGGACUGAGACACGGCCCAG
rnacentral:rRNA from 1 species